rnacentral:rRNA from 1 species
UACAGAGGUCUCAAGCGUUGUUCGGAUUCAUUGGGCGUAAAGGGUGCGUAGGUGGCAUGGUAAGUCGGAUGUGAAAUCCCGGGGCUCAACCCCGGAACUGCAUUCGAUACUGCCAGGCUAGAGUACUGGAGAGGAGAUUGGAAUUUACGGUGUAGCAGUGAAAUGCGUAGAUAUCGUAAGGAAGACCGGUGGCGAAAGGCGGAUCUCUGGACAGUUACUGACACUGAGGCACGAAGGCCAGGGGAGCAAACGGG